UUACUUAUUUACUCCUUCAGU
rnacentral:siRNA from 1 species